rnacentral:lncRNA from 1 species
UUUUUCCUUUUUGUCUCCAUUUUCCUUUUUUUUGGUCUGUUUUCCUUUUUUGGGGGUUCUUUUUCCCUUUUUUUUCUGGUUCAUUUUCCCUUUUCUUGGUUCAUUUUCCCUUUUUUUGGUCUGUUUUCCUUUUUUUUUUUCCUCCAUUUUUCCUUUUUUCCUCCAUUUUUCCUUUUUUUCUCCAUUUUUCCUUUUUUCCUCCAUUUCUCCUUUUUUCCUCCAUUUCUCCUUUUUUUCUCCAUUUCUCCUUUUUUGCUCCAUUUUCCUCCAUUCAUUUUCCCUUUUUUCAUCAUCUUUUCCUUUUUCCUCCUGCAUUUUUAGUCCUCUUCCUUCUUUCCUUUUUUCCUGGUUCAUUUUCCUUUAUUCUGUUUUGUUUCCCUGUUCAAGGUCAUUCUCCUUUUUUGGGGGUUCAUUUUCCUUCUAUUUUCUCAUUUCAUUUUUUGGUUCAUUUUCCUUUUAUUUUGAUUCAUUUUCCCUUUUUUUGUCAUUUUCCUUUUAUUUUUGUUCAUUUUCCUCUUUUAUUUUUUCUGCUAUUUUCCCUUUUUUGGUUCAUUUUCCCUUUUCUUUGGCCACUUCACUUUUGUGGGGGUUUAUUUUUCUUUUCUUUUUUUCCUUUUUUGGGUCAUUUUCCUUUUUUCAUUUUUCGUUUCCUUUUUUUUUUUUUUUCUUUUUUUUUUUUUUUAGGAAAAUCCCUUUUUAGGCCGUUUUGAGGAGGCAGUGUUCGGCUGCCUGCCGGCCACUUCCGCAUCUGGCCCCCUCCCUGAAAAAAAAGGAAGAAAAGCCUCAAAACCACCCCAAAAUUUGUAUUCUUGGCAUUAAAUUAUUCGGCUCGCUCGCGUUUCCCUCAUGUCUGUUCCACCUGCAGGAGCAUUUUGGGGCAAAAAAGGGCCCCGACCACGAAAAAUCCCCCCUCAAAAAGCAUCCAAAAAGGUAAAUUUCCAGCCAAAAAGCCUCAAGAAGGUCAAAAAGUGUAAAAAAGAAAAAAAAGGUGAAUUCUGAGCUGUAAAGUGGCGUUUUCAGCGCUCGCGAUGCCCCGUGCCCUCCGCCUGUACAAAACCCGCGCUUUUUUGUAAAACCCCGUCUUUUUACAACAAAAAGCCCCAAAUCAGCAUCUUUUUGCAGAGCUUUAACCGAAUCCGCGGUUUUUCAAGGUGUAAUAAAGUGUAAAUAGCGCCGCGGCCGCCCCGUCCG